AAAUAAGAAGAAGAGCUUCUUUACAUUUAAAAGAGGGUUUAGCAAGGUGAAGUAAAGCUGCUAAUCUAUGGACAAACUAAAACUAAUUGAUGAUAUUAUGGAUUCCAUAUCUUUGGAGUUUUCACUUGCCCUUUUAAUGACUUCACUCUUCUUUGGAUGAAGGAAGCUCUUCAUCUCUCCACA
rnacentral:pre_miRNA from 2 species